rnacentral:rRNA from 1 species
GUCAGUAAUUCCAUAGCAAGAGUGAACCACCUGAUCCCUUCCCGAACUCAGAAGUGAAACCUCUUAGCGCUGAUGGUAGUGUGGGAUUACCCAUGUGAGAGUAAGUCAUCGCCAGCU